rnacentral:rRNA from 1 species
GCUGCCUUCGUCCCGACAUGCGGGGUAAUUCAGGGGGGGCGAUGGGUAAUUGGAAUUGCUGGGCGUAAAGCGCGCGUAGGUAGCUAAUUAAGUCAAAUGUGAAAUCCCCGUGCUUAACUGGUGAAUUGCAUUCGAUACUAGUUAGCUAGGGUAUGGGAGAGGAUGGGAGAAUUCCAGGUGUAGCGGUGAAAUGCGUAGAGAUCUGGAGGAAUACCGAUGGCGAAGGUAGCCAUCUGGCCUAAUACUGACACUGAGGUGCGAAAGCAUGGGGAGCAAACAGGAUUAGAUACCCUAGUAGUC